rnacentral:rRNA from 1 species
CCUACGGGGGGCUGCAGUGGGGAAUAUUGCACAAUGGGGGGAACCCUGAUGCAGCGACGCCGCGUGCGGGAUGACGGCCUUCGGGUUGUAAACCGCUUUCAGUAGGGAAGAAGCGAAAGUGACGGUACCUGCAGAAGAAGUACCGGCUAACUACGUGCCAGCAGCCGCGGUAAUACGUAGGGUACAAGCGUUGUCCGGAAUUAUUGGGCGUAAAGAGCUCGUAGGUGGUUGGUCACGUCUGCUGUGGAAACGCAACGCUUAACGUUGCGCGUGCA